rnacentral:rRNA from 1 species
AGUGAACGCUGGCGGUAGGCCUAACACAUGCAAGUCGAACGGCAGCACAGUAAGAGCUUGCUCUUACGGGUGGCGGGUGGCGGACGGGUGAGGAAUACAUCGGAAUCUACUUUUUCGUGGGGGAUAACGUAGGGAAACUUACGCUAAUACCGCAUGCGACCUACGGGUGAAAGCAGGGGAUCUUCGGACCUUGCGCGAUUGAAUGAGCCGAUGUCGGAUUAGCUAGUUGGCGGGGUAAAGGCCCACCAAGGCGACGAUCCGUAGCUGGUCUGAGAGGAUGAUCAGCCACACUGGAACUGAGACACGGUCCAGACUCCUACGGGAGGCAGCAGUGGGGAAUAUUGGACAAUGGGCGCAAGCCUGAUCCAGCCAUACCGCGUGGGUGAAGAAGGCCUUCGGGUUGUAAAGCCCUUUUGUUGGGAAAGAAAAGCAGCAGGUUAAUACCCCGCUGUUCUGACGGUACCCAAAGAAUAAGCACCGGCUAACUUCGUG